rnacentral:misc_RNA from 1 species
CCAACUGUCAUGGGGCUGUCUUUUCGUUGUCCAUUUGCCUAGUAAUUUGCUAGUUAUGGAUGAUUGCCAUCGGUUGCUUGUAUGGUUCUACUCUUUUGGGUAGUGCAUGAUUGUUUCGUUGAUGCUUAUUUAGCCUGCUCUGUUAAUGUUAUUGUUGACAGGACGGCCGAGAUGUCAGCGAAUUUCAAGUGUUUCCAUGUGCGUAGCCAUGGUAAUGCACUUGGAUGUUCGCUGGGUCUCAUGGAUGCGGUCCCUAUUGUGAGCUCUACGGGCUUCUUGCCCGCAGAACCUGUGAGGUUGCCCCUGCAGAGACCAUUGCUCUAUUGCUUCACCGACACAUCAUUGGCUUAAUUGCCAUGUUGUAGUUGUUGCUAUUUGGGUGUUGUUCUUUGCCUCUGUGGCAUGCCUCUUAGAACAAAUGACUUACGAUUGCUGGUUUGCGUUGUCACAAGG